rnacentral:rRNA from 1 species
CAGUCGCCGCGGUAAUACGUAGGUCCCGAGCGUUGUCCGGAUUUAUUGGGCGUAAAGCGAGCGCAGGCGGUUAGAUAAGUCUGAAGUUAAAGGCUGUGGCUUAACCAUAGUACGCUUUGGAAACUGUUUAACUUGAGUGCAGAAGGGGAAAGUGGAAUUCCAUGUGUAGCGGUGAAAUGCGUAGAUAUAUGGAGGAACACCGGUGGCGAAAGCGGCUCUCUGGUCUGUAACUGACGCUGAGGCUCGAAAGCGUGGGGAGCAAACAGGAUUAGAUACCCCCGUAGUCCCUGUCUCUUAUACA